UGUUUAACUGUCACUUUUCUCUUUAUAG
rnacentral:piRNA from 1 species